ACGAACGCUGGCGGCGUGCCUAACACAUGCAAGUCGAGGGGUGCCGAUGUAGCAAUAUGUCGGCAUCACUGGCGCACGGGUGAGUAACGCGUAGGCAAUCUACCCUCAGGAUUGGGAUAACCCCGAGAAAUCGGGAUUAAUACCGGGCGAUGCAGCGGCACCGCAUGGUGACAGUUGUUAAAGUCCCGGCGCAAGUCGGGACGCCUGAGGAUGAGCCUGCGUCCUAUCAGGUAGUUGGUGAGGUAACGGCUCACCAAGCCUACGACGGGUAGCUGGCCUGAGAGGGUGGUCAGCCACACUGGAACUGAGACACGGUCCAGACUCCUACGGGAGGCAGCAGUGAGGAAUAUUGCUCAAUGCCCGCAAGGGUGAAGCAGCGACGCCGCGUGAGGGAUGAAGGCCCUAUGGGUUGUAAACCUCUGUAGGGAGGGAAGAAACUGGUGCUAUGCGCCACUGACGGUACCUCCAAAGUAAGCCCCGGCCAACUACGUGCCAGCAGCCGCGGUAAUACGUAGGGGGCGAGCGUUGUCCGGAAUCACUGGGUGUAAAGGGUCUGCAAGCGGACCUGCAAGUCAGAGGUGAAAUCCUACAGCUCAACUGUAGAACAGCCUUUGAAACUGUUGGUCUUGAGUCCGGGAGAGGAUGGCGGAAUUCCUGGUGUAGCGGUGAAAUGCGUAGAUAUCAGGAAGAACACCGGUGGUGAAGACGGCCAUCUGGACCGGUACUGACGCUCAGAGACGAAAGCGUGGGUAGCAAACAGGAUUAGAUACCCUGGUAGUCCACGCCCUAAACGAUGGGUACUAGGUGUCGGGCAUUUGCCCGGUGCCGGAGCUAACGCGUUUAAGUACCUCACC
rnacentral:rRNA from 1 species